AUGAAUGAUGACACUCUACUGGAUGGUGUGAGAAGCUUACUCCUCCUGAAUCCCAGCCAGGACCAACUAGACAUUUGGUUGAAGAUGGACGGUGUGUUAAAGAAGUGGAUGGCAUAUAGAAGCAUGGAUUCUGGACAUGGCUGUGCCACUAAGUACAGAAGUAACAUGAGUGAGAAUAUAGAUCAGCACCCCCUUUCUAAAGAAGAGGAAACACACUUCACAUAACUUAUUCUCUUCAAUCUGAUAGUGACAAAGCUCUGCCUAAAUCUGUAUUCUUUGGAGUCUAGUAUAACUUUUUUCCCCACUGCAUCAAAGCAGGAAGUCUUUCCUUAUGUUUAAAUAAUUCUCUUUUGUGAUUUAGAUCCUUCCUUCUUGUUCUGGCCUCGGCAAGGACCAGACCAGGAGAGCAGCUGGUCACCAUUUUUUAUAUGUGAACAUUAUAAAUAAAACGUUUUCCAAACCUGCCCUAAGAGUUAGG
rnacentral:lncRNA from 12 species